rnacentral:rRNA from 1 species
GAACGGGGAUAUAUUGGAAUGAGGAUUCGUCUGAAGGAAAAUGUAUCUUAGUGGCGGACGGGUGAGUAACGCGUGGGCAACCUACCGUAUACAGGGGGAUAACACUUAGAAAUAGGUGCUAAUACCGCAUAAGCGCACAGCAGUGCAUACUGGAGUGUGAAAAGCCGAGACGGUAUACGAUGGGCCCGCGUCUGAUUAGCCAGUUGGCAGGGUAACGGCCUACCAAAGCGACGAUCAGUAGCCGGCCUGAGAGGGCGGACGGCCACAUUGGGACUGAGACACGGCCCAGACUCCUACGGGAGGCAGCAGUGGGGGAUAUUGCACAAUGGGGGGAACCCUG